CUAUAACCAAUUCAGCCAACUGUGCUCUUUCUCCAUGAGGAGCUAUGUGCAGCAGCUGCAAACAACUGCCUCCUUGAUCUCAUCUGCCUGAUCCCUUCCUUGACGCCUGUUGCUCCCAGAAGUUGCCCUAAGGGACCCUUGAGACUGCU
rnacentral:snoRNA from 1 species